AAGUCGUAACAAGGUAACCGUAGGUGAACCUGCGGUUGGAUCAUUAACCAAUAAAAUGAGUUUGUUUAUUUGAUUAGUUUGAGAGCAAUCUCCUAAUUAUCUAACAACUUUUUUACACCUUUGUGCACAAUUUAUUUAUAUAGGGAAUGUAUUUCGAUACAUUUACCUAUAUAAAAACAUAAAAACCCAACAACAUUUUAAAUUUGCCUGAGAUUUUUUACAAUAAAGUAAUUAAAAACAACUUUUGACAACGGAUCUCUAGGCUCUU
rnacentral:misc_RNA from 1 species